UGUGUGUGUGUGUGUGUGUGUGUGUGUGUGUGUGUGUGUAUGCUUGUUUAAAAUGAAUGUAUUUUGAUGGAAUAGAAUAUGAUCAUUUUGUGGAGGGUUUGGCAGGUGUACUUUAAGUUGCCUUGUCUCUGAGACUAAAAGCCUUCCCAACACAAACAAACACACACACACACACACACAUAUA